rnacentral:ribozyme from 17 species
GGUCCACAAAAUCCAUCUUCAAAAAGUUGAAUGAAUCGUCAAAGAAAAAAGAGAUAAUGAAAAGAAUAUGACCAUGAAUGAUUCUUCUUCGUCAAAUGUUGUCGUCUUGGGUUUCAU